CAAGAAGACAUACUCAUGCCUAAACGAGUAUUGACCACUCGUCUUAUACAGGACCAGCAAGAUGAGCUCGAACAAUGGUUAAUUCACUGGGACGGUCAGGAAGAAGAAGACGCUACAUGGGAGGACGCAUCAAUGAUUCAAGGGCAGUUUCCUGAGUUGAGUCUUGAGGACAAGACUCAUUUUGAAGGAGGGAGUAAUGAUGCAGAUGGAAAUAGGGGGACCACAAAGAAUGCUACAUCAAAACCGUUACUGGUAUAUUCUAGAAAAAGGGGACAAGGGCAAAAAGGGAAAACGAAUGUUUAGUUGGUUACGCUGAGAAUAGAAUAAAUAGGAGGAGAAUAAUUAGAGUGAGGUCAUGCUUUUGAUUUGUAUUGAAUUGUAUUGGCUCCUGAAGAUUUGUUUCAGUGAGAGAGGGAAUCAUUCUGUAACAGCCCGGAAUCCCAGGUAUUAUUAAAAUUAUGUUUUUGGGGUGAUUUAAGAGGGGACUCGGCGAGUUGGAGCCUAGACUCGCCGAGUAGGAUCGCGGACUUGGUCGCGGGUCCGCGACUGGACUCGACGAGUCCAGAUAUGGACUCGGCGAGUCGACGCUGUUCAGCAGAAACCCUAACCGUUCAGUUUGGAUCGUAUUUAACGCCACUUAGGCCGUCAUUUUCAGUCUUUUGAUCAAUUGAGAGGAACCCUAAUCGCUGUGGACGCCUAGAGCAAGGGAGAAAGCUUUGGAACUUGGAAGAAUUGGUUAGGCAAGAAGAAGAGGGAUUUGGCUAAAGGAAUAUCAAGGAGGAUUGAGUCCUGAGAUUUGGGGGACACAGAGAGUGCGUUUCCAGGUAAUACUCGGAUCAAAUCUGUUAUUUUGAUGUAUUUAUGAAAUUAGGGUUUAUAGAACCCAUUUAGUGAUUUGAUGAAGUAAUGCCUUGUUAUCCCACGAUUAUAGUCUUGUAUUAGGACCUUUAGAGGUCCAGAAGGUCCCAUGCAUGUGUACUUUGGGACGAGACCUAUCUCAGGAAGCAGUUACUCGUCUGCAUGGCAUGGACUCGCCGAGUUGUUCUUCAGACUCGGCGAGUAGCUUGAAGAUUUGCUGGGACUCGCCGAGUUGUUCAUCAGACUCGGCGAGUGGAGUCGGGGUGGCCCCGCGAUUCUUCCACGAGGACCUCGUCGAGUCAAGAGGUAUACUCGACGAGUAGAAAGGGAAUAUUCAGGAAUCUGUGAGGACGACUAGACUCGCCGAGUCGCCAUGGUACUCGCCGAGUCCAGUCGAGUUGACCGUUGACCGUUGACCAGAGUUGACCUAAGUCUGACUUCUUAGGGAUAGUCACACUUAGAUGAUAUGAGUGUUAAUGAGUUAUAUAAUGUUAUAGGAGGGUUGUAGCUCGUUGGUUUGUGCGCGAGUGAUUUCAGGAGUUGCUAGCUUUCAGCACUUACGAGGUGAGUCUUCUCACUAUACUGUACCCGGAAGGGUUUGACUGUGUGACCGGAAGGUCGGAUAUGAUAUGUGAUAUGUAUGCUAUAUGUGGUAUGUUAUAUGUUAUAUGUGCUAUGUAUUAUGGGCCGGAAGGCGAUAUGAUGUGUGAUGGACCGGAAGGUCGGCGUGGGUAAGGCCGGAAGGGUUACCCAGCAGGGACGGAAGUCCCCUGAGACACAUGGACCGGAGGAUGUGUGAUGGACCGGAAGGUCGGCGUGGGUAAGGCCGGAAGGUUUACCCAGCAGGGACGGAAGUCCCCUGAGACACAUGGACCGGAAGGUCGGGCCUGGAAAGGCGUAUGUGCGUAAGUUGUAUAUUGGGGAACUCACUAAGCAUUUAUGCUUACAGUUGUUAUGUAUGUAUGUGUUUCAGGUACUAGCGAGGACCGUGGGAAGGCGCCGGCAUGAUCGAUACACACUGAAGAAUGUUUCAUGAUCUUGGGAGUUUGAAUAAUUGUAUUGACCGAAUGAUUAAACUGUUUAUGUCUUGUUUUAAUGGAAAAUAAUUAUGUUUUUAAAAUGAAAAAAAAUUUGGUUGAAAAUUUGAGUUGUUACACAUUCCCUGGGCAAUCUUCGGAUUGAUUUACCAAUACACAAUUCAGUUUUCUUUCAUUUCUAUAUUCCAUUCAUUCUACUACUUGUUUACUGUUUCAUUCUAUAUUAAUUUGUAUCACCUUCAAAUGAUUUUAGCAAACCCUAACUCCUUGCUUGAGCAUUCUUGACCCUUGUGUGUGUUUUUGGUGCUCUUAAAGGAGAAAGAAGGAAGUAGAUACACCUUGGAAACUUGAAGGAGCUUUGGAUUUGGGAUUUUCACCUAUCUAGCAACCUCCAAGAGGUAUAAAGCUUUAAACUUGGCUUGUAAUUCCUUAGAUCUUGCUAAGUUCUUGAUUCAUGAGAAUUUUGGUCCCAAGUCUUGACAUUUUUUAGUAUGGCAUGUCCCAGCCCAUUUAAUAUGUCCUUUCAGACG
rnacentral:lncRNA from 1 species